rnacentral:sRNA from 1 species
AUUGAAUUAGCAACAACACUUGGGAUUGAAGUGCUAAAUUGAAAAUGGCACUUUUCUGGCACUUUUUGAGCAAAAAAAGGUGAUAAAAUGUUAUUAGUGAGAAGUGAAGAUGAUUACAAAAAUAAAAUCUUAUAUUGAGUCUGCGCUCCACUUCUCAUUUAUAAUCUUAUGAUGAUAUAGCAGGAGAUUGCUAUGUUGCCCGGCAGAGGCUUUGUAUCUGGGCACUAGUCUCAACAGAUGACGACACUUCUGUUCAAUCUCAUAUCCUAUCCAUACUGGAUGUAAAACACGCAUGUGGCGCUGACUGGUGCGUUAACCAGUUUUUUAAAUAUAUAGCCCUUUCCAUCUGUUGAAAAUUGAGCAGGUGGUUUUU